rnacentral:rRNA from 1 species
UACGGAGGGUGCAAGCAUUGAUCGGAAUUACUGGGCGUAAAGGGCGCGUAGGCGGUUUUGAAAGUCAGAUGUGAAAUUCCGGGGCUCAACCCCGGAGCUGCAUUUGAGACUUCAGAGCUAGAGGUCAGUUAGGGAAAACGGAAUUCCACGUGUAGCGGUGAAAUGCGUAGAUAUGUGGAAGAACACCAGUGGUGAAGACGGUUUUCUGGGCUGAUACUGACGCUGAGGCGCGAAAGCAAGGGGAGCAAACAGGAUUAGAUACCCUGGUAGUCCUUGCCGUAAACGAUGCAUACUAGAUGUAGAGAGGCUCAACCCUUUCUGUAUCGGAGCUAACGCAUUAAGUAUGCCGCCUGGGGAGUACGCUCGCAAGGGUGAAACCCAAAA